UGGGGAAUUUUGGACAAUGGGCGCAAGCCUGAUCCAGCCAUGCCGCGUGCGGGAAGAAGGCCUUCGGGUUGUAAACCGCUUUUGUCAGGGAAGAAAUCUUCUGAGUUAAUACCUCGGGAGGAUGACGGUACCUGAAGAAUAGGCACCGGCUAACUACGUGCCAGCAGCCGCGGUAAUACGUAGGGUGCAAGCGUUAAUCGGAAUUACUGGGCGUAAAGCGUGCGCAGGCGGUUUUGUAAGACAGAGGUGAAAUCCCCGGGCUCAACCUGGGAACUGCCUUUGUGACUGCAAGGCUUGAGUGCGGCAGAGGGGGAUGGAAUUCCGCGUGUAGCAGUGAAAUGCGUAGAUAUGCGGAGGAACACCGAUGGCGAAGGCAAUCCCCUGGGCCUGCACUGACGCUCAUGCACGAAAGCGUGGGGAGCAAACAGGAUUAGAUAGCCCUGGUAGUCCACGCCCUAAAACGAUGUCAACUGGUUGUUGGGAAGGUUCCUUCUCAGUAACGUAGCUAACGCGUGAAGUUGACCGCCUGGGGAGUACGGCCGCAAGGUUGAAAC
rnacentral:rRNA from 1 species